UGGGGAAUAUUGCACAAUGGGCGCAAGCCUGAUGCAGCAACGCCGCGUGAACGAUGAAGGUCUUCGGAUCGUAAAGUUCUGUUGCAGGGGAAGAUAAUGACGGUACCCUGUGAGGAAGCCCCGGCUAACUACGUGCCAGCAGCCGCGGUAAUACGUAGGGGGCUAGCGUUAUCCGGAUUUACUGGGCGUAAAGGGUGCGUAGGUGGUCUUUCAAGUCGGUGGUUAAAGGCUACGGCUCAACCGUAGUUAGCCUCCGAAACUGGAAGACUUGAGUGCAGGAGAGGAAAGUGGAAUUCCCAGUGUAGCGGUGAAAUGCGUAGAUAUUGUGAGGAACACCAGUAGCGAAGGCGGCUUUCUGGACUGCAACUGACACUGAGGCACGAAAGCGUGGGUAGCAAACAGG
rnacentral:rRNA from 1 species